AGGGUCGCCUUAGCAACCGGCCUCCUGGGGCUUCCCUUUUUAGUCCGCCCGAAGGAGGUGGUUCCUUUCUUUCUUUUUUUUCUCUCUUUUAUCUUGCCGUUUUCUCUUUCUUCUGAACAUUUUUAAAGACUUUGUUCUUUCUUCAUUCCCUGCUGUAGGCCAAUGCGUCUGGGCAAGGAAAGGGCUGACAUAGACCUUGAACUGAGAGUUGAUGCCACCAGGAGGGAGAAUCUUGCAGAGUGCUUUCUUUCUAGGCCCCUCUGCAAACGUCUUCAUUCAUUCAUCCUUUCCCCUCACUCUCUUCCUUUUUUUUAAUUUUUUUUCUUUCUUCACCUAUUUAUUGGGCGCCUACUUUGUACCAGGCAUCGUGCUAAUCUCUGGUUAGCAGAAAACAUGCUGACUCUUGCUCUCUUGGCGCCUACCGUCUGGUGAUGGGGUCCAAGGUGCUUCACUGACUGGACCAAAAGUUUACCGAACUUCUUUUUUUCUUAUUUGUGGCAGGCACUGUGUUAUGCCCAGAAGGGGGUGCUUGGGGAACAUAGAAAAUAAGGGGAAAAAAAAGAGAGAGAAAAGCACUGCGAAGAGGAUAAAAUACCC
rnacentral:lncRNA from 10 species